UGGUGAUGCCCAUCCUCACUACCUAGGCUGGAAUCCUGAUGUCCAUGAUUAGCAGAACGAUCGCCACUGUGCUCACGAUGGUGCACAUGAAAGUGAGAUGCAUCGUGUACAUGAUCAUGUUUAUGAACACGAUUGUGCUCGCACUGAUCACCUAGGUGAUGGUUUGGAGGACAGUCUUGUGUAGUAUCUCCUGAAGUCUCACUGAUUUUCUUUCGUUUCUUCUUCUGUUUCCGCUGUUUUCUUUCACGCUGAUCCUGUGUUGUGUUUGUUUCUGUGGAAGGCCCGUGAUUCUGCUCUCCAUGUUCAUUAUGAAUAACUGAAUCAUUGCGAGAAUGAUGUGUACUGUUAUGGUCGAGAUGAUGAUGCGGAUGAGGGUGGUGAUGAUGGUGAUGGUGACUCUGGUCAUGAAUACGUUUACCAUCACCUUUUAUAGACGACACUACUGCAUCUCUCUCAGAGUUAUAUUUAUGAUUUUUCUUUUCAGCCAUACCAACCAUGGUUUGGUUUUCUGAAUCUGAGUGGCUAUGAGGAUGGCUAUGAGAGUGAAAAUGCCUUCCUUCCUGUACUUCUAAAGCAUAUAGGUGAGAAACAUGAUCAUGGCCAAUAUCAUCAUGAUUUAUCACUACUACUUUUACUUCUCCUAAACCAAGGCUCAUUAACAGUUUUUCCAGGCCAAAAAAAGAUAAUCUUCCAUUUUCACCAUAACGAUCAAAAAUCUUUUCUAUGUAGUAUUUCUGUUCAUUUUCAGCUUCCGACGUUGAAAGUUUACUCGGCAUAGAUUCUGAUCCUGCGGUCUGGUGGUAGGGUGUCUCUGAGAUCUGAUAGCAGUUAUGGUGGUCUUCAUGUCCCUCUUCGGGACCAUGGUCACGUCCAUCUUUAUGGCAAUGAUUGCACUGAUGAAAGAUAAAUGUCAGCAAACAAACGAUGCAAAAUUUUGUGUGCAUGUGUACCUUCAUCUCUGUUUCCUCACUCGAGUGCCGUGUGCAUCUCCCUCUCCGCUCGGUACCAAACCGCCGCGGCGCCUCCUCCUCCUCCUGCAGCUCCUGCCGCUGCCGCCGCUACGCUAUUCGCCAACCGCUGCUACGCCAACCCCCGGCGCGCUCGCCACACUCGCCCCUACGCACCGUGCGGAUCGCGUCCCCGCAGCCCGCCCGGCCCAAUGCGGAGCCAUUUCCUCCCCUUCCCCCGCGCCUCGCUUCCCCCUCCCCUACUCCACCGCCAGCUACGAAAAUGGCGUAGCGCUCCCCUUCCCCUCCCUGGGGCGCCUUGCGCUCAUCACUCAAGCGAGCGGGGCCGGGCGGUGGCGCGGAGCGCAGCUCCGGGGACGGAGCCUCACGGAGCGCCGGCUUCGGGCCGCGCUGUGCCGCUCGCUCCGAGAGGAGCUCGCCGGGCGAUACCGGCUAUCGCAGAGCUACGGGUGAAUCGCCCGGACGAGCCUCGACCGGCAGCCUCGUAUCCCCCCCUGCGCGGCGGCUGAAGGAAGCAGGGCCGGGGCGUGCCCCGGGCCGGGAGCCGCGCGCCCGGCUGCGGGCGGACCGGGCGCUGCCGUAGCGGCGCGGCCUGCAGCUGGGUCUGUGUCGGGGCCGGGCCUUCAUCCGGCGACCGCCGAGUGGAGUGCCGGCGGCGUUCGGGGGGCGCAACUCGUCUGUUACCCUGGCCUCGCCCCACGAAAGAUACGUGCUGCCCUGACUGAAGCCAGCGAGUCUGUCAGGCUUACUCGUGAAACAAAACGUGUACCUGCGUGAUAAACGUGUCCCCUACCCGAGAUUGAGAUGCAGCCCCUGAUGGCAAUAUAUUUGAUUCCUCAACAAAGUCAUAGCAGCCGGAGGGCUCAAAAAACAUACGUAAUGCCGAAUGUAAAUUAAAACCUUUACCGGAACAGCACCGUGGCUCAGCGGACAUUUUGGUUUACAGUGUAAGACCCAGAACAUACAGCAACCCGUCACCUCAAAUGCUGCUUAAAUAAACCGGCUUACUUUGUAAUGGCUAUUUAUAGGAAGCCUACUCAAAGGCUGAAGUGCAGUUGAGUAUGUCACGUAUUCUUGAAGCCAUUUCCUUUUUAUUUCUGAGAAAUUUGCAUGACUUUUUCCUCCCGAACCAAGUGAUGCUUCCCUCACAGGCUUCAGGCUGCAACGCGCCUCCCCUCUUUCUGGUGCGGGAGACAUGCAUAUUUCUCACAGACUCUCCUGUGACCGAGCUAAAGUAAUCUGCCUCAUGCUUUCCAAGCAUGUCCCUCUGCUGAGCUGGCUGGCACAUCUGCUCUGCCCUAGGUCUGGCCUGGCAGAACCAGAGCCAAUCCUACCUGCAGUUGUACCUCAGCCCAAGUCUUAUAUCACCCCAAUAGCCUCCUGAAGUAAAUUUCGGCUUGGCAACAUAUCCGUGGAAUCCAAAGACAGUUUUAGAUAUCAAAAAUAGAACGUGCACAUGACAUGAAAGUUGGUAUCUCUGUGUCCCCCCCAAAAAUCACAUAACCAUAAAACUGAAGUCAUGGAGAAAAACAAAACACAACAACAACAAAACCACCACCACCAAGAUUUUCCAGAUAAGAUGACUUCUCUAGGAAU
rnacentral:lncRNA from 1 species